CUGGAUAUUACCAUGUGAGGAGAGAGAUAAUACCGUAUUCCCACAGCAGUCACUAGCGAUUGCUGGGAGAAGUGACAUAACUUGACAGGGUAGCUCUGUCUUGUCACACAUUGGAUUUACCAUAAGGCAAAGAAGUUCCUACUUUGUCUUAUGAGAACUUGACUGUGUUAUAAUUUUAAAUUAAAUGCCAACACAGUCUUUGAGCAUUUCAUAAAG